GGCUGUAGCUCAGUGUCAGAGCGCUUGCCUAGCAUGCAUGAGACACUAGGUUCGAUCCUCAGCACCA
rnacentral:tRNA from 1 species